rnacentral:ncRNA from 1 species
GCUAAGAUGCUUUGAGUAUGAAUGUGAAUUCCUAAAGCAUUCCGAAAAGACUGCCUGAGUUAAAUAAGCCUUGCUGCUAGAAACUUACAACUUAAUGUUUGACCUAUAAACUUCGAGCUUCUCACACAGAUUUAAACCUGCUUCAAUGCUCUCCAUCGAGUGUUAUUGUGGGCCGAUACAAUUACUUUGAAAAAAUUAGAGUGCUUAACAAUGAAAUAAGACAUCUCUUCUACGUUCAUUGGUUUUUAGAUCAAGAGGUAAUGAUUAUUAGAAGACGUUUGGGGGCAUUAGCGCGAGUGGUGAAAUUCUUGGACCGAAGCAUUUGCCAAAGAUCUUUUCAUUAAUCAAGAACAAAAGUUAACAGGUUCGAAGGCGAUCAUAUACCGCCCUAGUUCUGCCCAUAAGCGAUGCCAUCUAGCAAUUGGGUGUAGCUACUAUUGUGGCUCUCUCAGUCGCUUCCCGGAAAACCAAAGUUGUUGGGCUC